UUCAAUGGUGGCUAUGCGUAGGGCGCCCCCGGGCGCGCCGGUGUUCAUGUGGACCGGUCUACCAACCUGCGUAUGGCCGCCACCCUU
rnacentral:antisense_RNA from 1 species